rnacentral:rRNA from 1 species
UACGGAGGAGGCAAGCGUUAUCCGGAAUUAUUGGGCGUAAAGCGUCCGCAGGUGGCACUUCAAGUCUGUCGUCAAAGACUGGGGCUUAACCCUUGAAAGGCGGUGGAAACUGAAGCGCUAGAGUGCGGUAGGGGUAGAGGGAAUUCCCGGUGGAGCGGUGAAAUGCGUAGAGAUCGGGAAGAACGCCAAGGGCGAAGGCACUCUGCUAGGCCUGAUUUCGCGACUGACACUCAGGGACGAGAGCCAGGGGAGCGAAUGGG